rnacentral:rRNA from 1 species
AGCAGCCGCGGUAAUUCCAGCUCCAAUAGCGUAUAUUAAAGUUGUUGCAGUUAAAAAGCUCGUAGUUGAAUUUCGGGGUUUAUCCGUUGGUCGGGCUUUUUGGUCUGUACUGGCGUGAUGGAUUCCUACCUUCUGAAUAACCGGCAUGCCAUUAAUUUGGUGCGCCGGGGAAGCAGGACUGUUACCUUGAAAAAAUUAGAGUGCUUAAAGCAGGCUUAUGCCUGAAUACAUUAGCAUGGAAUAAUGAAAUAGGACGGCAUGGUUCUAUUUUGUUGGUUUCUAGGAUCACCGUAAUGAUUAAUAGGGAUAGUUGGGGGCAUUAGUAUUCAAUUGUCAGAGGUGAAAUUCUUGGAUUUAUUGAAGACUAACUUCUGCGAAAGCAUUUGCCAAGGAUGUUUUCAUUAAUCAAGAACGAAAGUUAGGGGAUCGAAGACGAUCAGAUACCGUCGUAGUCUUAACCAUAAACUAUGCCGACUAGGGAUCGGAUGAUGUUAAUUUUUUAAUGACUUUCAUUCGGCGC